rnacentral:rRNA from 1 species
CUGGGAGGACCAUCUCCUAAGGCUAAAUACUCUCUAGUGACCGAUAGUGAACCAGUACCGUGAGGGAAAGGUGAAAAGCACCCCGGAAGGGGAGUGAAAUAGAACCUGAAACCGUGUGCUUACAAGUAGUCAGAGCCCGUUAAUGGGUGAUGGCGUGCCUUUUGUAGAAUGAACCGGCGAGUUACGAUUUGAUGCAAGGUUAAGCAGUAAAUGUGGAGCCGUAGCGAAAGCGAGUCUGAAUAGGGCGUUUAGUAUUUGGUCGUAGACCCGAAACCAGGUGAUCUACCCUUGGUCAGGUUGAAGUUCAGGUAACACUGAAUGGAGGACCGAACCGACUUACGUUGAAAAGUGAGCGGAUGAACUGAGGGUAGCGGAGAAAUUCCAAUCGAACCUGGAGAUAGCUGGUUCUCUCCGAAAUAGCUUUAGGGCUAGCCUCAAGUGAUGAUUAUUGGAGGUAGAGCACUGUUUGGACGAGGGGCCCCUCUCGGGUUACCGAAUUCAGACAAACUCCGAAUGCCAAUUAAUUUAACUUGGGAGUCAGAACAUGGGUGAUAAGGUCCGUGUUCGAAAGGGAAACAGCCCAGACCACCAGCUAAGGUCCCAAAAUAUAUGUUAAGUGGAAAAGGAUGUGGCGUUGCCCAGACAACUAGGAUGUUGGCUUAGAAGCAGCCAUCAUUUAAAGAGUGCGUAAUAGCUCACUAGUCGAGUGACACUGCGCCGAAAAUGUACCGGGGCUAAACAUAUUACCGAAGCUGUGGAUUGUCCUUUGGACAAUGGUAGGAGAGCGUUCUAAGGGCGUUGAAGCAUGAUCGUAAGGACAUGUGGAGCGCUUAGAAGUGAGAAUGCCGGUGUGAGUAGCGAAAGACGGGUGAGAAUCCCGUCCACCGAUUGACUAAGGUUUCCAGAGGAAGGCUCGUCCGCUCUGGGUUAGUCGGGUCCUAAGCUGAGGCCGACAGGCGUAGGCGAUGGAUAACAGGUUGAUAUUCCUGUACCACCUAUAAUCGUUUUAAUCGAUGGGGGGACGCAGUAGGAUAGGCGAAGCGUGCGAUUGGAUUGCACGUCUAAGCAGUAAGGCUGAGUAUUAGGCAAAUCCGGUACUCGUUAAGGCUGAGCUGUGAUGGGGAGAAGACAUUGUGUCUUCGAGUCGUUGAUUUCACACUGCCGAGAAAAGCCUCUAGAUAGAAAAUAGGUGCCCGUACCGCAAACCGACACAGGUAGUCAAGAUGAGAAUUCUAAGGUGAGCGAGCGAACUCUCGUUAAGGAACUCGGCAAAAUGACCCCGUAACUUCGGGAGAAGGGGUGCUCUUUAGGGUUAACGCCCAGAAGAGCCGCAGUGAAUAGGCCCAAGCGACUGUUUAUCAAAAACACA